rnacentral:lncRNA from 1 species
UCGUACACAACCUGGAACUACCAAGCCUGAUGAGGGGGAACGCCAUCCUUACUCUGUAAUAGAGUGUGAGCCGAAGCGUGAAGUCAUCUUACCAUCUGUAAUCUACAUACAAAAGAUUUUGCGGAGGAGGCCAUUCCUCAUCAAGAACCUUGAAAAUGUUAUGCGAAGAUUCCUCCAGUCCUUGGAACUUUUUGAGGAAAAUGAGAGGAAGAAGUUGGCAAUCUUCACUGCACUUGCAUUCUCCCAGAAGCUAUCUGGUCUCCCACCGGAGACAGUGUUCCAACCGCUUCUUAAAGACAACCUUGUGGGCAAAGGAAUAGUUCUGACAUUUAUUACUGACUUCUUUAAGGAGUAUCUGAUCGACAACAGCCUUGAUGAUCUUAUUUCAAUUCUGAAACGGGGAAAAGUAGAGGAUAAUCUCUUGGAGUUUUUCCCUCCUGCAAAAAAA